GCCAGUGCAGUGGUUAGCAUACGCUCCUGGAAAGAGUGAGACGCGGAUUCGACUUCCGAGUGGGGUU